rnacentral:rRNA from 1 species
UACGUAGGGUGCGAGCGUUAAUCGGAAUUACUGGGCGUAAAGCGUGCGCAGGCGGUUAUAUAAGACAGUUGUGAAAUCCCCGGGCUCAACCUGGGAAUUGCAUUUGGGACUGCAUAGCUAGAGUAUGGCAGAGGAGACUAGAAUUCCUGGUGUAGCAGUGAAAUGCGUUGAUAUCAGGAGGAAUACCGAUGGCGAAGGCAGGUCUCUGGGUCAAUACCGACGCUCAUGCACGAAAGCGUGGGGAGCAAACAGG